GUGGGGAAUAUUGGACAAUGGGCGAAAGCCUGAUCCAGCCAUGCCGCGUGUGUGAAGAAGGUCUUCGGAUUGUAAAGCACUUUAAGUUGGGAGGAAGGGCAGUAAGUUAAUACCUUGCUGUUUUGACGUUACCGACAGAAUAAGCACCGGCUAACUUCGUGCCAGCAGCCGCGGUAAUACGAAGGGUGCAAGCGUUAAUCGGAAUUACUGGGCGUAAAGCGCGCGUAGGUGGUUUUGUAAGUUGGAGGUGAAAUCCCCGGGCUCAACCUGUGAACUGCCUCCAAAACUGCAUGACUAGAGUACGGUAGAGGGUAGUGGAAUUUCCUGUGUAGCGGUGAAAUGCGUAGAUAUAGGAAGGAACACCAGUGGCGAAGGCGACUACCUGGACUGAUACUAACACUGAGGUGCGAAAGCGUGGGGAGCAAACAGGAUUAGAUACCCUAGUAGUCC
rnacentral:rRNA from 1 species